rnacentral:lncRNA from 1 species
GGCAAGGGUGUACAAUUACAUAGUGAGGUUAAUAUACUGAUGCUCAAGUCUAUUUAAAUAAACCAACAAUCUCUGUGGGUCUAAUUUUCCAAAGUGGUGAUUAGGGUUUUUGUUUUGUUUGUUCGUUUUUUUUGACAGGGUCUCACUCUGUCACCCAAGCUGGAAUGCAGCAGCAUGAUCACAGCUCAUUGCAGCCUUGACCUCCCAGGCUCAAGCAAUCCUCCCAUCUUAGCCUCCUGAAUAGCUGUGACCACAGGCACAUACCACCAUUUAACCAGGCAUGGUGGUGUGUGCCUGUGGUCCCAGCUACAGUGUCUCUCUAUAUUGUCCAGGCUUGUCUUGAGCUCCUGGGCUCAAGUAAUCUUCUGUCUCAACAUCCCGAAGUCAUUUCCCAAAAAAGCCCUCUGAAUCUCAACCACAUCCUCCAUCCAGCCCCAGAGUUAGAUCGUCCACCUGCAGCCCUUGCCGUAGCGUCAACUUGCUCCUCAUGGCAGCGGCCCCAUGGGAGACCUGCUGGCUGUAAACAUCCAGCUAUUUUCUAUAUCCUACACUGGGAGCAUGUGAAAAUAUCUGGAUACAUUUAUGCCAGGUAAAAGCUGAGGGAGACUUGGCCCUCUCUUUGCCUGGAUCUGCCUUGCAUCCAUUUUUCUUCUGUUAUGAUUAUCUCUUGUUGGUGAGGGGGCACUCAGAAAGGUGAUUGUUUUAGUCUAUUUUCUGUUACUCAGAGAAAUUUAUAAAGAAAAGACAUCUAUUUCUCAUAGUUCUGGAGGCUGACAAGUCCAAGAGCAUGGCACCAACAUCUGAUGAAGGUCAUCCCAUGGCAGAAGGACAGAAGGCUGAAGCAAACAUGUGAGACAGAGAGAAGAAAUCAGGUAAAACUCACUUUUAUUACAAAUUCAGUCUCGUGAUAACUAACCCACUUCUGCAAUAAGGGCGUGAAUCCAUUCAUGAUGGAUCUGCCAUCACCUAAUCAUCUCUUAAAGGCCCCACAUCAAUUAAAAGUCAACAUGAGUUUGGGAGCAGACAAACAUUUAAAC